rnacentral:lncRNA from 9 species
CUUGAUUAGUUGGCUACAUUGUUGACCUAUAUUUAAGCAGAUCUAUAAACAAAAGAACAAUUUCACUUCCUUAGGGCCCACAGCAGAGGAAAUGGCAAUGAGCAAAGAGCAGAGUCCUUGGCUUCCCUUUUUCAGAAUCUUCUAGGCCAUGAUCAUUGGUGCCUCUGUGGACAGCCUCUGUCUGCAGAUCAGAGCACCAUUGCCAGUUGCCAAGAGGAACUUUCUCUGAGGCUUCUGGAAGAGGAAUCCAUGCUGCUGUGGCUUUUGCUGCUGGUUCUAGUUCCUGGCUGAGGAUAGCCCUGGAUCCCUGUGUCUUUUGUCUCCAUGGAAACGCUACCUCCAAGGGGGCAGGUGGUUGAAGAGAAGAUGCUGGCUGGUCCUUGUCUGCUCUGAGUCUGAAGGCACAGGGGGCAUCAUGUUUUCCUGACACAGAGAGGACACAAAGGGGAGCCUGGAGAGGAAAACUUGGCUUUUCUAGGUCUCCCGGGGCCCAGGCUGCCAUGGGGGAAGUGGUGGAGCUUCACUGUGAGGCCCAGAGGGGCUCUCCCCCAAGCCUGUACCAGUUCUAUCAUGAGGAUGUCACCCUGCGGAGCAGCUCAGCAUCCUCUGGAGAAGGAACAUCCCACAACCUCUCUGCAGAACAUUCUGGAAAAUCCUGUGUCAGGCCAACAAUAGCCUAGGAGCCCAGCCCAGUGAGGCAGUGCUUUUCAAUGUCAUUCAGCUUGAGCCUUGGCUAUGGGCUCUCUUUCAAAAGAUAAACUCCAAGCAUGCCAGUGUAUGAGGAAGAGUAUUUCGUGAAGACUGGAUUUCCUCAGUGACUUACAGUGGAAACAGAGACAGGAGGUCAUGAAAAUUAGUUGCUAGCCUCCCACUAGCCUGAGAGGAGUGGGCUACACUCCAGGGCAUUGGACAAAUAACUGAACAUCACUUAACCAUUUCAAACUAAGGCAAAAUGCACUGGAACGCCUGCCCGAUUCCGCACUUCACACCCCUUCCUCUGGAGUAUCUUCAGGAUUCCAGCCUGAGUCCCUGACCUCUGAGCCUCACCCACAGAACACUCUCCUCAGAGGUCCCCUAGGACAAAGGCCAUGCCACCUUCUGGUUGCAGUGACUGGGGGACGCUGCUUGGUUUCCUGGCAACUACUGCUCUGUUUUUUACCUGUGGCUCCAGAGGAAGUCAGGACUCCUCUGCUGUCUAUUUAGAGGUGAAGAAAGAACAGCCCACAGCAGCCUCAGCUGAGCAGCAGUAAAAGGAACCUGUAGUUGGAGCUCUUCUUAAGAAGUCUGAAAAUCAGGAGUUCCCAUCGUGGCACGCGGAAACAAAUCCGACUAGGAACCAUGAGGUUGAGGGUUCGAUCCCUGGCCUUGCUCAGGGGGUUGGGGAUCCAGCGUUGCUGUGAGCUGUGGUGUAGGUCACAGACAUGGCUUGGAUCUGGCAUUGCUGUGGCUGUGGGGUAGGCUGACAGUUGUAGCUCCGAUUAGACCCCUAGCCUGGGACCCUGCAUAUGCUGCAGGUGCGGCCCUAAAAAGACAAAAAAAAAAAA